rnacentral:rRNA from 1 species
GACGAACGCUGGCGGCGUGCUUAACACAUGCCAGUCGAACGGAAAGGCCCUGCUUUUGUGGGGUGCUCGAGUGGCGAACGGGUGAGUAACACGUGAGUAACCUGCCCUUGACUUUGGGAUAACUUCAGGAAACUGGGGCUAAUACCGGAUAGGAGCUCCUGCUGCAUGGUGGGGGUUGGAAAGUUUCGGCGGUUGGGGAUGGACUCGCGGCUUAUCAGCUUGUUGGUGGGGUAGUGGCUUACCAAGGCUUUGACGGGUAGCCGGCCUGAGAGGGUGACCGGCCACAUUGGGACUGAGAUACGGCCCAGAAGCCUACGGGAGGCAGCAGUGGGGAAUAUUGCACAAUGGGCGGAAGCCUGAUGCAGCAACGCCGCGUGCGGGAUGACGGCCUUCGGGUUGUAAACCGCUUUCGCCUGUGACGAAGCGUGAGUGACGGUAAUGGGUAAAGAAGCACCGGCUAACUACGUG